CUAGUUCCUCGGGCCGUCCCGUUCCGGCUCAGAGAGGGAGACCCUGGGAUAGGAGCCGGCUGGGCCCCAGCUGCAGCUGCCAAGGGCGGACGCGCAGAAGGAUUUCCUGGGGAGCUGGCCGGCGGGGCACGGAGCGAGAGCAGCAGGAGGGAUUGAGGCCGGGCGGCAGAAAGGGCUCUCUCGAGCCGGAGGGAGAGUUAGACCGCAGCAGGAGAGAGCAAAGGGGAAGUAGGAAGGAGAACUUCCCGAAAGAAGACGAGGAAGGGGGAGGCAGGAGGCAGAGAAAGACAAAGAAUUCCGAAGCCAACUCUCGAGAUCGUCUUCACCCAAUCCGAUCACCAGCGAUGCCCCAGAUUGAAAUCCAGUCGACGUCAGCCGUGGGAACAGAACAGGGGAGAGUGGGAGCCAAGGGUUUUGACCUGGAUGAAGGAGGAUUAGCGCUCCAUCCCACCUUGAGACCUCUUCUACGCCAAUCUCCCUGAUGACAGGCCGGAUGAACAAAAAAGAGAGGGUGGACCUGUGGACCGGAGACAGGGGGCUAAUGGAUGUCUUUUGGAGGGGAUAAGGAACUCGUCUCUCAACUGGGACGUUGAACAAUCGGGCACCGGCUCACCUCCGUGGCACUGAGGACCGAACAUCCCGGCUGACCCUGCACCACCCCGGUGGGACCGAGGACCGCGACCACAGCCCGUGCCACACCCGUGGACCUCCGGAAGGCUAUGGUGGGCUGCGAUCGUGACUGGACUCUGAACGGUGAGGAGUGUGAAAUUCUGCUCCGGGAUGAGAGGGUGGAGGGCCGGUUCUAAGACCCCGGGCUGAAUCGGCCGGAGAAGCCCGGGAGAGCCUCCUCACCCGACAGAGCGAAACUCCAUCACCGUGCCAUUGGGGACCUCGAUCCCCUCACGUCGCCUGGAAUCCACCCGAUGGACCAGGCGUCUGAUGGACUGCUCCAUGUCUGCGUCUCCUCGGGGGUCCCGCCGGGCACAUGGGGCGAGUAGACGAGGGCUCUGUGAGAAACUGAGAGAACGGACGCCCCCUCAGCCUGUUGUAACCUGCAGGACUGAGGGAGAGGAGCCGGGAAGUUUCCUCUCUUCCGCCCUCCCUUCUUUUCCUCCACUGGUUUCUUUCUCCCGGGACCACGGCCAGGAGAGAAACUCUCUGGUCUGGAGAGGCCCUGGCUGGCCUCUGGAGUUGAGAAGCCUGGGAGAGGGCAUGUGAGACGAUAAUAUUAUCAAUCAUAUUUA